rnacentral:rRNA from 1 species
UACGUAGGGACCAAGCGUUGUUCGGAUUUACUGGGCGUAAAGGGCGCGUAGGCGGCAAUUCAAGUCAUCUGUGAAAUCUCCGGGCUUAACUCGGAAUGGUCAGGUGAUACUGCUUUGCUAGAGUGCAGAAGGGGCAAUCGGAAUUCUUGGUGUAGCGGUGAAAUGCGUAGAUAUCAAGAGGAACACCUGAGGUGAAGACGGGUUGCUGGGCUGACACUGACGCUGAGGCACGAAAGCGUGGGGAGCAAACAGG